rnacentral:rRNA from 1 species
UACGUAGGGGGCUAGCGUUGUCCGGAUUUAUUGGGCGUAAAGAGCGUGUAGGCGGCCCGGUAAGUCCGCUGUGAAAGUCCAGGGCUCAACCCUGGGAUGCCGGUGGAUACUGUCGGGCUCGAGUCCGGAAGAGGAGUGUGGAAUCCGUGGUGUGAGCGGUGAAAUGCGCAGAUAUCAGGAGGAACACCAAUGGCGAAGGCAG